CUUUUAAAAGGGAGACGGCAUCUGAACCUUGCCGAAUAGGAAUGUUCCAGAAGUAAGAGAGAUGACUAGGGUUUCAAGAACAAGGACCAGCACCUAUGAAGGCUCUGAGGCACAGACCACUGUGACCUGUGGAGAAGUGAGUCUCAGUCACCCAAGCUGGAGUGAAGUGGCGCAAUCUCAGCUUACUGCAACCUCCACCUCCCGGGUUCAAGUGAUUCUCGUACCUCAGCCUCCCAAGUAGCUGGAAUUACAGAAACAUCCACCCGAGGCAUCCAAGAAUUCGCAGUUCAAAUCUGGCCUUCCAGAAAGUCAUGAAGUUCUACUUGUCAAGACAGCAAAGUGAAAGGCAUGUUUUGAUUACUACCGACAUUCAAAGUCUGGACACAGGUGACAAAUCUAAAGGGCCAUAGGAGUUGAAUCACUGCUAUGACUUCUGAAUGGAUCUGCUUCUGGAGAUGAGCUCUCCGCCUGUUCCCAGGAGGUCUGAGAGAUACCCUGGACAUUAUCCGUGAGAGCCACCUGCCGAGGCAGGAGAUAUUGCCCAUUCGUCCAACUGCCGCUGUCCUGCCAGUAUAUCGUCUGAGAUUACCAUCAGCUAAAUAUUGCAUUGUCUUUGGACAAUUUUCCUACAUUGUGACUCCUCACUACAUUUUCAAUGCUUUUCUAGUCCCAGACAAGCUACAGACUGUUAAUUUACACUUGCUUUUGCCUUGCCUGAGGAAAUUGAAAAUAAAUUUUAAUUUCCUAGUCAAGGGCUACGGGUGCUUUGUGUGGUUUGGAGGAAAAAAAAAUACUGUUAGAUGGAAUUAGGGAAUAUUAGGAGAGUUUCUGAAGUUAGUGAAGGUACACAGUAAUUGAUCACUUGCCCUCAUAGUGAGAGGUCAUUCCAAUGAGCAGAGGUUCUGUCAAUAUCUGAGAUCUGUUUGAUACCUGGCCUCAAUCUGUCAAUCACGCCCAGUAACCAUAUUCAUAGGCUUCAGAUCUGAAUUUUGAAUUGCAUCAGAAGCUUUCCUCUGGCCUCAGAGAUGCCAUUGAGACCAUUCUCAUAGUUAGUCACCACUCACACUACACAAAAUGGAAGAAAAAAACUUCCUUUGGGGCAAAUCAACAAUCUCUGGUAGGAAAAUAAACAAGGAUGCUUUCAGAAUACCAGAAGCCCAAGUCUGAGCAUCUGGAGGCAAAGGAAGAGUAGAGAAGUCUUUGUUGGUGGGACCACUGCCUGUAGGAAUUUAAGGGAACUUGGAUCUUAGGAGUUGCUCAGUUAAGUCCUAGAGAGAGCCUAAGUGGGACUAAUGAGAAGCAGAACAAUUGCUAUUUCUGAGAAGAAAAACCAACACUUUUGGAUGUUAACUUUUGGAUGUUUGAAUUUUUUGUUUUAGUUUUUAUUCCUUUUGGGAAAAGCUAUUUUUAUUGCAAAAAAAUAUGUAAAGCUAGCAACAAAAUAGUUGAAAGUAUUUAUUGUGUACCUACUGUGUGAUAGCAGCUGGGUUUCAAACACAAGUGAAUAUGAAAUAAAUGAGCCCUAGAUGCACAAAAAUA